GUGGGGCUGGGGGGGGGUCAGUGCCCCAUAGAUGUGGGUCAGGGCCCUACAUGAGGUUUCCUGCCCCAUAGAUGUAGGUCAGGGCCCUAUAGAUGGGGGACAGGCCCUAGAGAUGGGGGUCAGUGCCCCAUAGAUGCAGGUCAGGGCCCUACAUGAGGGUGUCCUGCCCCAUAGAUGGGGGUCAGGCCCUAUAGAUGGGGGUCAGUGCCCCGUAGAUGGGGGUCAGGGCCCUACAUGAGGUUUCCUGCCCCAUAGAUGGGGGGCAGGAUCCUAUAAGUGGGGUCAGUGCCCCAUAGAUGGGGGUCAGGGCCCCAUAGAUGGGGGUCAGGGCCUAUAAGUGGGAUCAGGGCCCUGUAGAUGGGGGUCAGGCCCUAUAGAUGUGGGUCAGGGCCCUACAUGAGGUGUCCUGCCCCAUAGAUGUGGAUCAGAGCCCCCCCCCAUCCAUUGGUGCCAUCCCCCCCCACCUGCAGCCCCCCAUGGGGUCCCUAUGGGGUGGUUGGGGUCCGCCCCACACAUUGCCCUCCCCCCCCACCCCCCAUGGGGUCCCUAUGGGGUGGUCUGGGGUCCCUAUGGGGUGGUCUGGGCUCCGCCCCACAAGUAACCCCCCCUUUUUCCCCCCCCCCCCAGCCUGCAACCCGUCGCAGUGCCGCGCUGUGGGGAGGGGGCUUCAACCCAAGGGG
rnacentral:lncRNA from 1 species